GGAGGGAUGGCUCACCAGUUAAGAGCACUGGUUGCUCUUCCAGAGGACCUGAGUUCGAUUCUCAGCACCUGUA
rnacentral:tRNA from 1 species